rnacentral:rRNA from 1 species
UAUUGCGCAAUGGAGGAAACUCUGACGCAGUGACGCCGCGUAUAGGAAGAAGGUUUUCGGAUUGUAAACUAUUGUCGUUAGGGAAGAGAAAGGACAGUACCUAAGGAGGAAGCUCCGGCUAACUACGUGCCAGCAGCCGCGGUAAUACGUAGGGAGCGAGCGUUAUCCGGAAUUAUUGGGUGUAAAGGGUGCGUAGACGGGAAAACAAGUUAGUUGUGAAAUCCCUCGGCUUAACUGAGGAACUGCAACUAAAACUAUUUUUCUUGAGUGCAGGAGAGGUAAGUGGAAUUCCUAGUGUAGCGGUGAAAUGCGUAGAUAUUAGGAGGAACACCAGUGGCGAAGGCGGCUCACUGGACUGCAACUGACACUGAUGCUCGAAAGUGUGGGUAUCAAAC